UCCCUGGUGGUCCAAUGGUUAAGACUCGGCGCUUCCAAUGCAAGGGGCGCAGGUUCAAUCCCUGGCUGGGGAA
rnacentral:tRNA from 1 species